rnacentral:antisense_RNA from 1 species
CAAAAUACAGCAAAGACCUAAGUUCUAGCUUCAACUUGCAAAGAUAGUCUUCAGCUCAAACUUCCCCGAUUUAUUUUAACUGCUAAAGCAGUACCCUAAGGCACUAGGACAAGAAGCAGAUGAACAUGUAUAGCCAGUAUUGGGCCACCAUGCCCGUCCCACCUAGACUCAUACCUUGUCUCAUCCACUCGACCUCGUCCUCGGUGACAAAGCUGCACAAGGCUUUUGCCAUUGCCAAUCGUAUUGCUCCAGCCUGCGCCGACCUCCCGCCCCCUGAGACUGUGCAGGUCACAUCGUGCUUUCCCAGCCGGUCAACAAAGUGGAAAGGGAACAUCAGCUGUUCUCUAAAGCACAGCACAAGUAAAUGUGGUUACAUUUACUAUAAAGAUACAUAAUAAUGUAAACAACUGAAAUUCUGAAUAUUCAUAAAAACAAUAUUCUGCAUGC